GUGGAAACAAAAGUUACCUGAAGAAGAUAACCAAUAUACAUAAAUAUAGUUAGUUAUAUAAGAGAAUUUUCUGCAUUAUGGAAUCACUUUUAUUAGCUAUUCUGUCCUCCAAUGUCAUUAUCUCAGUGCAUCAUCCCAAAAUAGUGAACCUGCUACUUUCUGUUGGUCAGCAGCUUGAAGUGGUUGGGAACGCCGGGUUCGAUUAAUGACAGUGAUUGGUCUACCAGACACAAGUCCAAUUGUGCAAAAUUUGAGCUAGUAAGCAUUCAUCUCAUUUCCAUGCUUCCAAUGGAGCGGAAGAAAUGAGACAUUUUAGGAGUUUCUCCACCUUAAAAUCAAGUAAAACAAAGUGCGCGUUUGGCGGCUUCAAGGGUGUUCAGAAGAAGCAUUGCAACUGUCAUGGGACCUACACCUCCAGGCACUGGGGUUACAGCAGAAGCGAUCCUGACUGCUUCUUCAAAGCAAACAUCACCAAUCAAACGGUAACCAUGUUCGCUCUCAGGGUCCACAAUUGGGUUUAUUCCUACGUCAAGUACAACUGCUCCGGGCUUUAACCAGCUACCACGGACUAAAUUAGGUACUCCAGCAGCUGCCACAAGUAUAUCAGCUUCACGAGUAAUAAUUUCUGGAUUCUCUGAAUAUGCAUGAACAAUGCUUACUGUUGCAUGGUGCCUCUGCAACAACAAAAAAGUAGGUAAUCCAACGAUGUUGCUCCUCCCAAUCACUACAGCUCUCUUCCCAACGAUUUCAACAUCAGAACUUAGCAGUAACUCGAUGCAGCCUUUAGCAGUGCACGGGAUGAACAAUGGCUCUCUACCCUGAAUGGCCAAGUUCCCAAUGUUUAAUGGAUGAAAUCCGUCCACAUCUUUUUCUAAGCUUAGUACAUUUAAAAUCUUUCCCUCAU
rnacentral:misc_RNA from 1 species